GUAUAGUCGUUGAGAUGGCAAACGUUUGACUUUCGGAACUGCUUUAAAUCCGGCGAGGAGCUUGACAAAACGUGACUGCGUUGCUGCGAUGUUAUCGGAAGCCUCUCCAGCGACUCUGAGGCACUAAGCGCCUCACUCCUGACUUUAGAUAUGUCUCGGCGCCUCCAGUGUGAAAGUUCCCCAUGGCACGAAUUCGACUUGUUCAAACUACUGUGGACAUCAGUGUUACUUGAGUUUCCCUGAGCACUGAUUCCAGAGUUUACGGCGGUAGUUUCGUCCAGUAUACCCGGUGACGAUGUACGGCUCGCCGCCGUCGCCAUUUUCUAUCCCGUAGUCAGCGUUGGAUCAUGGCUGUAGGAUCCGUGUUUUUGUGUGAAGGGGGAGUGCAGGAAGGAGCGCUGUAACUCUAGCAAUAACAACAAAGCACUUCCGGCCAAACAUUUUCAGCUUCAUGUUCAGCAGGAGAGUGGCAAAGUUGCACGGCUACUAUGUACCAUGCCAGUUCCUUGGGUCGUCUCAUUCUGGGCCAAGCAGGCUAGCCAAUCAAGCUGUGGUCCUCCCACUGGUAUAUGAUUCUGUCUAGUGCUGACCUCCUCAUCCAUCCUAUGUACUGCGAUCAUCCAUUGGUCUGAAUGUGACACUGGCCUAACAAACACCUGGCUGUUACUCAACUUCUGACACAACUUGUUGCAAGGACGAGAGAGAUUUAAGUUGUGGAUGUUACGAGACAAAAAAUGUGUCAAGGAGAUGAACUUUGAAAGUAGCUGGG
ensembl:lncRNA